CGGCGGACGGGUGAGCAACACGUGGAUAACCUACCUAUAAGACUGGGAUAACUUCGGGAAACCGGAGCUAAUACCGGAUAAUAUAUUGAACCGCAUGGUUCAAUAGUGAAAGACGGUUUUGCUGUCACUUAUAGAUGGAUCCGCGCCGCAUUAGCUAGUUGGUAAGGUAACGGCUUACCAAGGCAACGAUGCGUAGCCGACCUGAGAGGGUGAUCGGCCACACUGGAACUGAGACACGGUCCAG
rnacentral:rRNA from 1 species